rnacentral:lncRNA from 1 species
AUGUUUUGCAGGCAAGGAUGGGUUAUUGGACUGGGAUAGGUGAUUGAUUUCUUUUUCUACUGUAGGCUGGAUGUCAAAGAACAGCUUGUGUAGUGCCAGACACGACAUUACUGGCUGCUAGCUACAAGACAACAACUUAGAGGAAGAUGUAUCUCACCUGAACUUAACCUUUUAAAACCAUCAUAGGGUAAAAAAGCUUGGGCUGUCUGUUCUUCUCCUGAAGCUAGAUUCUUAGCUGUGACAAAUUAGGUCUUAUAUUCUCAACACAUUCGCUGGGGGGAAAGAAUAUCAGGUGGACCUUAAAGAAAAUCUCCUGGAUCUUUCCAAGCCUGGAACAACGGAGCGCUCAGCAGCUGAUGGUACGAAACCUUUUGGCUUUCAUGCGCUACUGCUGUGAGUGAAGACUCACACUAUGAGUGCUCUAAAAAGCUGCUUCCUGACAUUGGAAGAUCACAUC